rfam:Picea glauca, whole genome shotgun sequence.
GGGCCUAUAGCUCAGUGGUAGAGCAUUUAACUGCAUAUCAAGAGGUCACCGGCUCGAACCCGGUUGGGCCCU